AAACUUGAGAGUUUGAUCAUGGCUCAGAACGUACGCUGGCGGCACGCCUAACACAUGCAAGUCGAACGAAGUAGCAAUACUUAGUGGCAGACGGGUGAGUAACAUGUGGGUAUCUGCCCUUUGGCCUGGAAUAACACGAGGAAACUUGUGCUAAUACCGGAUAAGUCUUUACGGAGAAAGCUUUAUGCACCAUUGGAUGAGCCUGCACUUGAUUAGUUUGUUGGUGGGGUAAUGGCCUACCAAGACUGUGAUCAAUAGCUGAUUUGAGAGGAUGAUCAGCCACAUUGGGACUGAGACACGGCCCAAACUCCUACGGGAGGCAGCAGUGGGGAAUCUUGCACAAUGGAGGAAACUCUGAUGCAGCGAUGCCGCGUGAGUGAAGAAGGCCCUUGGGUUGUAAAGCUCUUUCGUCGGGGAAGAAAAUGACUGUACCCGAAUAAGAAGGUCCGGCUAACUUCGUGCCAGCAGCCGCGGUAAUACGAAGGGACCUAGCGUAGUUCGGAAUUACUGGGCUUAAAGAGUUCGUAGGUGGUUGAAAAAGUUAGUGGUGAAAUCCCAGAGCUUAACUCUGGAACUGCCAUUAAAACUUUUCAGCUAGAGUAUGAUAGAGGAAAGCAGAAUUUCUAGUGUAGAGGUGAAAUUCGUAGAUAUUAGAAAGAAUACCAAUUGCGAAGGCAGCUUUCUGGAUCAUUACUGACACUGAGGAACGAAAGCAUGGGUAGCGAAGAGGAUUAGAUACCCUCGUAGUCCAUGCCGUAAACGAUGUGUGUUAGACGUUGGAAAUUUAUUUUCAGUGUCGCAGGGAAACCGAUAAACACACCGCCUGGGGAGUACGACCGCAAGGUUAAAACUCAAAUGAAUUGACGGGGACCCGCACAAGUAGUGGAGCAUGUGGUUUAAUUCGAAGAUACGCGCAGAACCUUACCAACACUUGACAUGUUCGUCGCGACUCUAAGAGAUUAGAGUUUUCGGUUCGGCCGGACGAAACACAGGUGCUGCAUGGCUGUCGUCAGCUCGUGUCGUGAGAUGUUGGGUUAAGUCCCGCAACGAGCGCAACCCUCACUUUUAGUUGCCAUCAUUAAGUUGGGCACUCUGAAAGAACUGCCAGUGAUAAGCUGGAGGAAGGUGGGGAUGACGUCAAGUCCUCAUGGCCCUUACGUGUUGGGCUACACACGUGCUACAAUGGUAUCUACAACAGGAAGCAAGACUGCGAAGUUAAGCAAAUCCCUAAAAGAUACCUCAGUUCGGAUUGCACUCUGCAACUCGAGUGCAUGAAGCUGGAAUUACUAGUAAUCGUGGAUCAGCGUGCCACGGUGAAUGCGUUCCCGGGUCUUGUACACACCGCCCGUCACACCAUGGGAGUUGGUUCUACCUUAAGGCAAGGUUUCAAACCCUUGACCACGGUAUAGUCAGCGACUGGGGUGAAGUCGUAACAAGGUAGCCGUAGGGGAACCUGCGGCUGGAUUACCUCCUUU
rnacentral:rRNA from 1 species